rnacentral:lncRNA from 1 species
CCUGGAGCAAUGAGAGAUUAAGAGGUUUGCCCAGAAUCACCUAGCCUUUGCCUUGGUGAGAUACAGAUUGCUUCAUUUGGGUGUAUGGAGUGGACAGAGAAGACUAACACCUCUGGAGUGAAGGUUCAACAAGUCCUUUUCAGGACUUCAAGUGGCUCUUGCCAGGGGAGGAUGUGGCAGCAAGAAGCCAUUAGCUUAUGUCCAAUGGGGCACCUGGCACUGAGGAAUGAAUCGAUUGUGUGGAGAGAACUCUCCCACACUCAUGUAGGAAACCAGCCAAGCCAUGUCCAACACCUCACUCAUAAAGGCCACCUCUUUUCUCUUGGACAAGUUCCUCAGUAGGAUCCAAAAGAGGAUGAAUGGGAGGCUUUGAAGGAAGGACCUUCACACAGAAAUCCAUUGGGAACAGCAAAGAAGAUUCUGUCUUUCUGGGAAGAGAAGGGGAUCCCCAGAAAUAAAGCCUGAACACAGGACUCA